GCUGAGCUCAGUUGGGAGAGCUUGUAACCCGAGUGGGGGCAGUAAGGUGAUGUGGAUGUUGUUGUAGCGAUGCGGGCCUGGUCUGGGUGUGCUACUGCUGGCCCGCCCGUUCCAAGUUGUGUAGUGAACCGCUGGGGACUAUGCGAAAGCUGGGCCUCACGGUCCAUAAUGUGGCAGGCAUAGCGUGAGGUUGGCUUCACAGAGCAGCGACAACUGCCCGCUUUCAACGGUGGAAGGAUAACGGGCCGCUGCACUCCUUGGCCGCUUGGGCCUUGCAGCCUACUCCAACGAACCAUCACCUUU
rnacentral:SRP_RNA from 1 species